ACUGGUGUAAGAGUGUAGGCCGUGACAUAGGCAAAUCCGUGUCACAUUAAGGCUGAGACUUGAUGCAUACCCGUUGUGGGGAAUUCAGUGAUCCUAUGCUGCCGAGAAAAGCCUCUAGUGAGUUCAUACACGGCCCGUACCCCAAACCGACACAGGUGAUCAGGUAGAGAAUACCAAGGCGAUCGAGAGAACUGUGGUUAAGGAACUCGGCAGAAUGCCCCCGUAACUUCGGGAGAAGGGGGACCAUGCCCGGUGAACAUCUUCACGGUGGGAGCUGGGCGUGGUCGCAGAGACCAGAGAGAAGCGACUGUUUACUAAAAACACAGGUCCGUGCGAAGACGUAAGUCGAUGUAUACGGACUGACGCCUGCCCGGUGCUGGAAGGUUAAGAGGACCGGUUAGCCGUAAGGCGAAGCUGAGAAUUUAAGCCCCAGUAAACGGCGGUGGUAACUAUAACCAUCCUAAGGUAGCGAAAUUCCUUGUCGGGUAAGUUCCGACCUGCACGAAUGGCGUAACGACUUCUCUGCUGUCUCGACCACAGACUCGGCGAAAUUGCACUACGAGUAAAGAUGCUCGUUACGCGCGGCAGGACGAAAAGACCCCGGGACCUUUACUAUAGCUUGGUAUUGGCGUUCGAUUCGGUUUGUGUAGGAUAGGUGGGAGACUGUGAAGCAUGCACGCCAGUGUGUGUGGAGUCGUUGUUGAAAUACCACUCUGAUCGUAUUGGACGUCUAACCUCGGCCCAUGAUCUGGGUUAGGGACAGUGCCUGGUGGGUAGUUUAACUGGGGCGGUUGCCUCCUAAAGAGUAACGGAGGCGCCCAAAGGUUCCCUCAGCCUGGAUGGCAAUCAGGUGUUGAGUGCAAGUGCACAAGGGAGCUUGACUGUGAGACUGACACGUCGAGCAGGGACGAAAGUCGGGACUAGUGAUCCGGCACCGGCAAGUGGAAGCGGUGUCGCUCAACGGAUAAAAGGUACCCCGGGGAUAACAGGCUGAUCUUCCCCAAGAGUCCAUAUCGACGGGAUGGUUUGGCACCUCGAUGUCGGCUCGUCGCAUCCUGGGGCUGGAGUAGGUCCCAAGGGUUGGGCUGUUCGCCCAUUAAAGCGGCACGCGAGCUGGGUUUAGAACGUCGUGAGACAGUUCGGUCUCUAUCCGCCGCGCGCGUAAGAAACUUGAGGAAGGCUGUCCCUAGUACGAGAGGACCGGGACGGACGAACCUCUGGUGUGCCAGUUGUUCCACCAGGAGCAUGGCUGGUUAGCUACGUUCGGAAGGGAUAACCGCUGAAAGCAUCUAAGCGGGAAGCCUGUUCCAAGAUGAGGUUUCUCACCACCUUGCGUGGUUAAGGCCCCCUACAGACCAUGGGGUUGAUAGGCCGGAACUGGAAGCGCAGCAAUGCGUGGAGGUGACCGGUACUAAUAGGCCGAGGGCUUG
rnacentral:rRNA from 1 species